CUUUUGUCUUUCGACAUCGCGACUUGAAAGCUUCUAGCCAUGAUACAAAUAUAGUUAAUUUUUUAAAGGACUGGCCUUUAUAUUCGCAAUGCAAAAGACUUGAUUGACAUUGAUUUUCGGUUGCUAUUUCCUGGAAAAGAGAUUUUGCUAUAUAGUAAAUGGGCGGAUUUUAAGAAGAAGAUAAAAUCAUUUUAUAGACCAAAUAUAAAUGAUAAAUCCUAAAAAUUAUUAUUUUCAUCCUUAAAUAACAAAUCUGAAGCAAAUGUUGAAGAUUAUAUCUUGGCCACAUUAUUAAACUCCAUUAUUCUACUAGUCGGUUUCCAGUAGAAGUUUAGUUUCCAGUAGAUAGUUU
rnacentral:lncRNA from 1 species